CGCGAUGAACAACCUUUGUACUCUGCCUUAAAGCUAUCAAAAGUUUCCCUUACUCUUAUCGCCGUGGAUAUGAACUGAGCUCCUACACUGCGCUACCAAUAUGCCACUAGAUCGCUUGCGAUACGACAUGUUGCAGAUUUGGAAUAAAUGGAGGUGAAUCACUGUAUGUAUGUAUGUAAAGGUUUAGCGUCCCGGGGGGAGUGCAGGCAUUGCCUGCAUCCCAAAAGCCUCCCGAAGGGCAUGGAGACGUGCUAUGCUGGAGAGAUCUCUAUAUACACAGAAAUAGACACAGGAUCCAUAUAGCAACUCUUGAAAAGACUCAGUUUUGAAGUAAUAACAACAAUAAUAACUGAUCAUCCACUUCUGGCCCGACGUGUGGCCAUCCAUGGUAAGGAAAUCAUGAAAGCACUGAAAUUCUUCCUAGAUAAAGCUUUAUAUCUCAGGUCCCUUAUCCUGCAGUGUUACAGUUCUCUGAGAUAAUCACUCUCUCAGGUAUAUAAAGCCUUAACAGUAUGAAGGAAAACAAACCAAAACUCAGUGAGAAAAGGAAAAAGAACCUCCACAAGUGCUAACUGUAAAGUAUCAAAGAAGCAGUAGUGAUCCCACUUCAAAAGGAGUGAAUUGCUUGCAGGGAGCAGAGGAGGGCAGUUGCUCACAGGGAGCAGAGGGGAGGCAGGGCGAUUGCUCGCAGGGAGCAGCGGCAGGGCGAUUGCUCACAGGGAGCAGAGGGGAGGCAGGGCGAUUGCUCGCAGGGAGCAGAGGGGAGGCAGGGCGAUUGCUCGCAGAGAGCAGCGGCAAGGCGAUUGCUCGCAGGGAGCAGAGGGGAGGCAGGGCGAUUGCUCGCAGGGAGCAGCAGGAGGGCGAUUGCUCGCAGGGAGCAGCGGCAGGGCGAUUGCUCGCAGGGAGCAGCAGGAGGGCGAUUGCUCGCAGAGAGCAGUGGCAGAGUGAUUGCUCACAGGGAGCAGCAGCAGGGCGAUUGCUCGCAAGGAGCAGCGGCAGGGCGAUUGCUCGCAGGGAGCAGUGGAAGGGCGAUUGCUCACCAGGAGCAGCAGCAGGGCGAUUGCUCGCAGGGAGCAGAGGAGAGGCAGGGUGGUUGCUCACAGAGAGCAAAGAUCAAGGCCUGAAGGCCAGUGAGUGCUGGGUUCACUGAGAAUCAAACACUCAGCCGCUCUGCUCUUGGCCAUCAUUAGAUGAUGUUACCAGGCUGCACCACGAGGAGGUGGCAG
rnacentral:sRNA from 1 species